rnacentral:rRNA from 1 species
CCUACGGGAGGCAGCAGUGAGGAAUAUUGGUCAAUGGACGAGAGUCUGAACCAGCCAAGUAGCGUGAAGGAUGACUGCCCUAUGGGUUGUAAACUUCUUUUAUAAAGGAAUAAAACGAGGCACGUGUGCCUUUUUGCAUGUACUUUAUGAAUAAGGAUCGGCUAACUCCGUGCCAGCAGCCGCGGUAAUACGGAGGAUCCGAGCGUUAUCCGGAUUUAUUGGGUUUAAAGGGAGCGUAGAUGGGUUGUUAAGUCAGUUGUGAAAGUUUGCGGCUCAACCGUAAAAUUGCAAUUGAUACUGGCAGUCUAGAGUACAGUUGAGGUAGGCGGAAUGCGUGGUGUAGCGGUGAAAUGCUUAGAUAUCACGCAGAACCCCGAUUGCGAAGGCAGCUUACUAAACUGUGACUGACAUUGAUGCUCGAAAGUGUGGGUAUCAAACAGGAUUAGAUACCCCUGUAGUC